rnacentral:rRNA from 1 species
AACGAACGCUGGCGGCAGGCUUAACACAUGCAAGUCGAGCGCAUCCUUCGGGGUGAGCGGCAGACGGGUGAGUAACGCGUGGGAACGUACCCUUUCCUACGGAAUAGCUCCGGGAAACUGGACUUAAUACCGUAUACGCCCUUAGGGGGAAAGAUUUAUCGGGGAAGGAUCGGCCCGCGUUGGAUUAGCUAGUUGGUGGGGUAAAGGCCUACCAAGGCGACCAUCCAUAGCUGGUCUGAGAGGAUGAUCAGCCACAUUGGGACUGAGACACGGCCCAAACUGCUACGGGAGGCAGCAGUGGGGAAUAUUGGACAAUGGGCGCCAGCCUGAUCCAGCCGUGCCGCGUGAGUGAUGAAGGCCUUAGGGUUGUAAGGCUCUUUCAGUUGGGAAGAUAAUGACGGUACCUACAGAAAAAGCCCCGGCUAACUACGUGCCAGCCGCCGCAGUAA